rnacentral:lncRNA from 1 species
UGGGCUGCCACCACCUGGGACCAUGUUGAUGCCCAAGGGCUGUACAGAGCUGGCCCCACACCUCACUGGCUUCCUGCACUCAGGAGAGUGGGCCCACACACCUGGGCAGCACAGUAGAGCUGGCCCUGGUGGCAGGGGCCAAGAGUGAGCUGGGCCUGAGAGGGUAAACACAGGACAGCUGAACCUGCCACCUGCGGUAGGGCAACAACAAGAUGUCCGAGAGGAGUCCUGGUGAGGAUCCAGUAUUGAGAGAAUAGCAGAAGCCAGAGGCCUCGAACCAGACCAAUGACUCACUGCAAUGAACAAGAUGUGUGGCCAAGAGCAUUCUGUGAGACCCACUGUGACCCACUACAACUUUGAUGUCAAG